rnacentral:rRNA from 1 species
AUUGAACGCUGGCGGCAUGCCUUACACAUGCAAAUCGAACGGUAACGGGCCUUCGGGUGCCGACGAGUGGCGAACGGGUGAGUAAUACAUCGGAACGUGCCCGAUCGUGGGGGAUAACGAGGCGAAAGCUUUGCUAAUACCGCAUACGAUCUACGGAUGAAAGCAGGGGACCGCAAGGCCUUGCGCGGACGGAGCGGCCGAUGGCAGAUUAGGUAGUUGGGAUAAAAGCUUACCAAGCCGACGAUCUGUAGCUGGUCUGAGAGGAUGAUCAGCCACACUGGGACUGAGACACGGCCCAGACUCCUACGGGAGGCAGCAGUGGGGAAUUUUGGACAAUGGGCGCAAGCCUGAUCCAGCCAUGCCGCGUGCAGGAUGAAGGCCUUCGGGUUGUAAACUGAUUUUGUACGGAACGAAAAGCCUUCUUUUAAUACAGGAGGGUCAUGACGGUACCGUAAGAAUAAGCACCGGCUAACUACGUG